UUUUGGGCAGGGUGGGGAGAGGUGUAUGUUCUUUUCUGCUGGUCAGCCCACAUUUGCAAGAGAAGGUCAUCUGCAUGUAGAAACUCAUUGAUAGGGAUGAUUUUCUAUUCAGAGUCCACAUAUUCACUAGUGCUGGUUAGGACUUGAUUUACAUUGAUCUAGAUGAACUCUGGAAGUGUCACUUUCGCUGGUCCAAGAUGAAUUAAGUAUUCCAAAUAACAAACUCCUUAUAUAGUCUUGAGGAAUCAAGGAAGUGUACUUGCAUGCCAAUUGGGUUUUAUGAGGUUGAUCACAAUCCAGAUGCACACUCAUUAAUGCUUCAUUCCAAAUCUGAAUGAACCAAAAAGAAUAUUAAAAAGGUUCAAGAGGAUGCUUUUGAGAGAAUGGUGCAAUUGUUUGGCCUGUAGAACUGGAAAAAUGUGAUGAGAUGGUUGGUUAGCAAAGGGUUUGAAUGAAUAUGCAGAGUAGUACUCUGUCUGUAAGGUUCAAUUUUUGGUCUUCUAAUAUGAAGGGGACUCCAUUUCCCGUGUCACCAUAAUUGAUGAAAGGAUGUCCGAGAUAGAAUAUCCGCCAAUCAAUGUUGAUGUGAGGAACCAAGCCCCAGCAAUUAUGGAAUUGUCUUGCUGAAAGUGGAAGAUGCCUUCGAUUGCCAUGAUUUUUCAGUCAGGCUUGAAGUCUGGGGGGAUGAAUUACAUUCAGCCAAGUGUCCUCAGUUUUGUAUGGAAAUUGAAUCUGAUCAGGUUUGCGAAGGCCAUGGCAGUUCCUAUGCACAUUCAUCAGCAGAGUUUGGGAGGGACAGAAGUUCGAACUGCUCAUCGCAAGAUUUUCCAGGUAAGCUGAGAGAGUUAGGCUUGUGAAGAGCUCUCGAACUGGCCAGCAAAUUUAUACUCGAUUAUCCUUUCCUCCAAAUUGCGGUGAGGUGAAUAUAUCUGAAGAAAAGCAAUAUGAGAGUUCCUGGUUCAUUCCUAAAGACACACGUUAAGAAAAGCUUGCAGAUCAUGGCUCUCAUAUUUCAAGACAAAGCAUGGCGUUGAAGCUCACCAGCCCUGAACAUUAUGGAAAGCUAUUUGCCCGUAGGGCUGCAUUCAUGAGAGAAACUUCUCUGAAGGCAGAAGACACGUGUGUUUGAGCUCUACUGAAAAGGACAAUAUCGUGUUCGGACUAUCCAACUUCAGAACCACUGAUAUGACUUGGCUGAAUGAUGAUACUAUGCAAUACGAUAUGGCAGAGGAAGUUUCGGCUUAGCUCACUUUUGGUGAGAAUGUGACUUUCAGAAUGGCAAGGCUGAAUUCUGCUUCCAAUUCGGCAAAAUGGAUAAAAAGCAUGAGCUUUGUUCCAAUGAAUGAAAUGGUCCUGAAUGUGUACGAUGCCUUUCCUUGAUCCUAGACUCAAUAAUCACCACGAGGGCACGAGUUGUGAGUCGGAGGAAGCUGAUUACUACUUUUGAUUCUACAACUUCCAUUUCAGGAGACAAUCUCUUGAGUCUGGGGCUUCUUCAAGGUUUCCAGUGGCUCAACCUGAUCUUUAGAAUGGUAGAGGGUGGUAACAUCGGAUACACUUCCGCUAAGCCAUAUACCAAGUCUAAAAUUCAAGGUGUAACCAUAAUUUUACAAGCUCUGGUGAACUUAAUCAGAUUCUGGUCAUUGUCUCUUUUUGAUUUCUUCAAGAUUUUGUGAUCAGUCUUUUCGCAUGUGAGAAGUUCGUUAGUUUCUUCUCAUAUGGAAAGCAUUCAGAAUUUAUUCUGUCAAAUUAACUGAAUCAUGAUAUGUAUAGCAAAACAAUUUCCAAUC